GUCGGAGUGGUGGAACUGGCAGACGCGCUGGACUCAAAAUCCAGUGGUAGCAAUACCGUGGGGGUUCGAUUCCCCCUUCCGGCACCA
rnacentral:tRNA from 1 species